GCGAGCGCCUGCGCCCUUCCCUGGCGUGAGGGUAUGUGCCUUUGGACUACAUCGUGGAAGCCAGCACCAUGCAGUCCAUGGGCAUAUACACUUGCCUCAAGGCCUAUGUC